rnacentral:lncRNA from 1 species
AACAACAUGGAGGUAGAUGAAGUUAAUUAAGCUAUCAUAAAAUAUAAUCACUCAAUUUGACGAGACGGAGAAGGGAAUGAUGAAGAAAGAAAAUAGGCGAGUGAGCGAACACACGAAAAUUAUCCGAGGCGCAACUCGAGUAACAAAAUGAACCCCACGAGCCUCACGACCGAACCGUUGCCGUGAAGCUUAGUGUAGAAACUUGGCGACGAAGUUUAUUGUGUCCGGGUGAAGCUGUGAACCGCUGGAAACCGCUGUGCCUCAAUAAGCGUGGUGUGUGCCAGAAGAAUAGUAAUAAGAGAACGUGGCCGGAGGGAAGAAGUGCCGCAGAGAAUCGAGAAAGAAGAGGAAGAGGAGAAACAGGAGGUGAACCAGCGACGUGCCACACAACAGAAGAAACUAACCACUACAGUCUCCAUUACCACCACCACCACUACCACCACCACCACCACCACCACUACUACAAGGCUCUCAAUCCCAGCAUGAUGUGGAAUUUGAUUUUAUCGUUGGCAAAUCGUGGAAAUAACGCAUGAGAGGAGUUGUCCAGCAUGCCCUCUUGCUCUUCGGCUCAGUGCUCCUGUCUCAAGAAGGAGGAACACGAGGCGAGGGAGCGACGGCGAGGGAGUGUGUGACGCGACUCCCUGGCGACCGCUUACUGGCAGGCGGACGGACCUCACAACCACCGCCACCUCUAUCACCACCACCACUACCACCACUGCCACUAACGCCACCGUUCUUCAUGAUCCGCCCACCUCCAUCACUACCACUACCACUGCUGCUCCAUAACUCGGACAUUAACACUACUAUCAGUGCUUUAUAUCAUCCCAUCAACCAUGACCAUUACAACCAUGCCUUAACUUCCAUUAGCAAUACUGAUGUUACUAAAGUCAUUACAAUUUUUACCAUCACCGUAGCCACCACUACUUUUCUUUUUUUAAUGAUCCAGCCUCCACCAUCAUCACUACAACUAUCACCACUACUUACUGCCUCCAUAGCCUCAUCUCUACCACAAUCAUCAUCAUCACUGCUACCACCACUACUACUAUCAUCUCACCAUACCCACCACCAUCCCCGCCUUCAAUACCAACAUUACCAUAAUCACCGACUUCCUACCAGUCAAUAAAAAUUUACCAGGAUCAACCCGUGAUCAGCUCAUUACUACCAACACCACCACCAUAGCCCGUGAACUUACUUCCACCAUUACUACCACUGUACUCCAUGAUCCGCCCUCCGUCACCACCGCCACUGCUUCUUGGCCACCUCUGCACCACCAACAUCACCACCACUGCCGUACCAUCAGCAUCAACAGUACCGUACAGUGUUUGCAUUUACAUCCAUUUACACUUCUGGUCGUAUCCUGUUUCAAAUUUUCCAGGCAUUUCAUUUCCUUCUUCACUCGCCUACGGAUCUUAUAACUCAAUAUCAGACACCAGUAAUUUUUCUUUGGAAACCGGAAAGCUGGCGUAAUUAGUUACAAAUAAAGAUGAGACAGAAACUACAUCCUUGCAAAUUAAUAGAUAUGAAAUUUAUUUCAACACCUACGUCGCAUCGUUCGAUGAUAAUAUAGAACGAAUCGUCCAAUAAAUCGUUCAGUUAUUAUUUGUUCAUUGGUAUGCUGUGACACAGGUAGAACAUGAGUUUGUGAAUCGUAUUUUGAUAUUACAAUUGUAAAGACAUGAAGGUUAUAUGUACUUGCAUAGGUUUUAUAAGUUGAGUGAAUAAGGCAGUAAUUUUGCGCGUUGCUAAUGAAAGGUAAAUUGUAUUCAAUUGCUUCACAAUUGUUUGCUCGAAACCCAAGUUCGCGCAAGGUUUCACUUCACUUGCGAGCGGCAGGUCAGUGAAGUCGCAGACACGGGGAGGGGCGGUUGGUUAGCUACGGCCCACAUUCCCAUCUCUGACCCAGCACGAUGUGUCCUCGAACGUGUGGGGGCGACUCGCACCGCCUGAAGGGACUGAGGAAGGAGUGAAUAACCCAAGGAAUCUGAGCGGCUCUUCAUAGAGCGUUGAGCGGCGACAAGACUUCAGCCACUGGUCUGCGAGAACGGGUAGGGCGAGGCGGCCAACCACUACGUCCAUCCCAGCCUUGCCCCGCGCUCACCUCUGCCUCAUAUAAGUGCUUCCAUUAUCAUGAGGAUUACUAAUCACCAUAGUAUGGCAAGCAAAAGAAUCAUGAUUCAAACUACUGACCCAUGGAGAUAGAUGUUGGAUGUUUCUAUGUGGAGCCAAACAAGAUACCAACUGUGUUUAGUUGAAGCAGCAUGUUCCUGAUUCCCAUCUAUUGAUUCUUGACUGGAAUUAACUGUUUUACUGCGGUCAUCAUGAUGUAGCUCGGCCAAGACACUGCGAACUUCUGUUAAGAUAUUGGGCUGUACAUAUGUCAUUGCCUUGUCCAGUCCUUCACCAUCAUUACCUGGAAAAUUUGAAAGGUACAGCCCAGGAACACAGGGAAACAGACAAAAGAUGGUGCUAAUGAGAGAACGGUGCAACACUUCCUCUCACCAUGACCGCCAUGGAGGCAAGGAGGCAGUACUGUGGUGUGUGAUGGGAGGCAGUGAGGUCCUGCUAGCUGCUGGUACAUAGCAUAAUGCCAUUGUUUUUUUGUCCUAGCUCCUGGUACCUGGCAUAAUGCCAUUGUUUUUUGUCCAGGCAUUAUGGCAGGAUGCUCACCUGGCUUGAUUCUGUGACAAGCACUGUAGAAAAAUGUAGAUGGAUUGAUAUCAUCAGCAAAUAUUCACUUAAAAGGAUUGUAGAAACAAAGUUAAUUCAUAAUUCAACACCAUGGAACAUAAAGGAAGGUGUAUAAAAAUUUAUGGAUGAAAAAUCAUGAAAAUACACCAGCAAGAGUUAUGUUAUUACUGAAGAAAGAACCUGACAACGGUUAACAUGACUGAGACUUAAGAAGUGCCUUCUUGGUUAUCCUAAUUCUAUAUGUUUUUUCAGCAAAAUAAUCUUUAUUCAUAGGCUGGAUCUUUCAGUAGUGGUACCAUGUUUGUAGCUAUCCUUUGAAUUCUUUCCUGUUCUUUGAAUUCUUUCCUGUUUCUUCAUAUCAUCCUUCAUAUGCAGAGAUCACACCACUGCUACAUACUCCAACCUGAGUCAUACCAUAGUGGUUAUGAUUUUUUUCAUCAUACUCUUGCCUAUGUAGUGAAAUGGCACCUUCUUAUAAUGAAAUUCAUUAACUUCUUGUAUGUUGAGCCAAAUAAUCCCACUUGUAUACCCCUUUUGGAUUAGGGUAUCUUGAAUAACCAUUCAAGUCUUUCUUACUCUUCAUUAUAAUUUCCUCUCCAAGUCUAAUUUUACUCUUACCCAACAUGGAAUUUCACUUAAUUUUUCAUCAGUCAGCAGGUUCAAAAAUAACUGCUCGCACCCACCAGUGCGUUUCACUAAUAUACACAUCUGGAAUAUGAUGGGUGAUAACAGUGAUCCAUGUAGUUUGCUGCCACUUGUUGUUACAUUACUCUAACUUGAUCAGAUGUCCCAGAUCACAGUUCUCUAUCCUGUAAGAAGUCCCUCAUCCAGUUUCGUUGUUCCUCCUGCAAGUUCCAUCUUUCACAAGAGUCUUCUGUGUGGAACUAUAUCAGAUAUCAAAUUCUUUUUUCUUUCACAAGAGUCUUCUGUGUGGAACUAUAUCAAAUUCUUUUUUCUAUCUAAGUACAAUGCAUUUAUUUACCAAACUGUCUUUGCAUUGUACUUCAUUUUAUCACUCUAUACAGAAACUUAGUAGCUAAAUGUGACACAUGUGAUCUUCCUUUUAUGAAACCAAAUUUGUAGUUAUUGUUAUAACUUCAUUUUCAUCUAAAUAUUUUUUCACCCUUUUCCUUGAUUACUAAUUUGGUUCAGUCUUCUUUCCUCCUUUGUAUAUUGGCUUUAUAUUUGCUCUUUUCCACUCUCUUGGUGGUGUUCCCUCCAUCAGUGAGAUGUACACCACAUAUCAAAUUGGCUCCACCAAUUUGUUCUCUACAUUCCUUUAGUGGCCAAGCUUACAUUGCAUAAUUUUCUAGCAAUUUGUCAAUUUCCUGUUUUGAAUCAUCAUGAUUUCCCUGUUCUGUAAAAACCCAUUUCGACAUUAAGUUCACCAUAAAAUCCAUUUCACUGUAAAAUUCACUUCCACCAUAAGUUAACUCAUCUUUCAGCUGUUUUAAAUAUCCUUCAACUCCUUUUUCAGCUGUUUUAAAUGAGGCUGGUAUUGCAAUAGGGGAAUAACCCUCAAAAUUGGUGAAAUCGAGUUACGGGUGGCAACGUGCUCACAAAGGGUGUCAAAAGGUCCUAAGCACGUCGGCGAAACUCACACAAAAAAAAAAAAAAAAAAAAAAAAAUUGAGACUAACAUUGGAAGUGAGUGCAAGCUGGGGAUAACCCACGGUUGGUGGUAGUGGUGUGCGAGCCAAUCAACUGCGAGCGUCCCACUACGCCCCAGCGCUCGGCCAAUCACAACCUCUAUAUACUUGCAGGGGGGACCACGUGCGGAAAACAACACUGCUUUUAAUCCUGCCUGAUCUUUCUCCACAGAUCCACACCAUUGUGCCUGAUAAUGAACUUAACUGUCUCAAGCCAAUGUAAAGGAUGAGAGUCAACCAAAAUUAUCAUAUUAAAUUUUUUAGGUCAAUAGUACUCAAUUUUUAUCUAAAAAAAAAAAAAAAUUUUAUUAUGUAAUGCAGUAAGGUAACAUAGUCUUCAUAACAUACUACUCGUUUUAUCAUAGUGACGUAAUUUCAUUGAUAACUCAUAAAUUCUUGGAAAAUAGGUGAUGGAGGUAGUGAAACAAUUUCUUUUCACAAGAAAAAAGUUUUGAUUACAAAAAUUUCUAUUUUUUUUGGGGGGUAUUGGUAUUAUACAUUACAUCAUAAGACCCUAAAAAACACAAAAAAACUAACCUACCCAGGUAACUUUUUUGGCUAGUAACUGUAGGUAUAGUUUGUUGGUUUUUUAGGAGGCGGAGACAAAAAUAAGGUGACAAAAUGGAACUCUUCUGAUGUAUGAUAAUAGCAUAGUAUGCCCUUCCUUCCAUGCGUAACAAGUGGCUAACUUUAAAGCGUAUUUUCUCGAAAGUAGGGUUAUGAGGGUUAUCCCCCUCUUGCAAUACCAGCCUCAAAUAUCCUUCCUCCCUUUACUAAUUUGCAAAUGGUCUCUCUGCUCAUCAUCUGCAAAACUGUUCAGAGUAUUAAAAAGAGACACAUUGAUUGUUUAGAGUUGCAGAGAUAUUAACAAGAUAUAUGAGUUGAGUCAGAGAUGGGAAGUGAAAUUCAAUGCUAAGUAAGAAAUUCCAAGUCAUGGGUAAAGGCAAAAGAAGACCUGCAUGGGAUGCAUGCUCUCUCUUUUCUACAUUCUUCUCUUCUUUCUAUAGAAUGCAAUGACCGACCCUCCCUUUCUCUGUCUCUAAGUUAAACAUCACUAGUGUACUGCUACUCUGCUGAGCUCCUAAUCAAAACAAUCUUUACAUAAUAAUGGCCAGUGAUGUGGAUACAGGUCUUCCACUUACCCCAGAUUUCAGUCUUCACCUUCUCAUAUUCCUCCAUGAGUGUCUUUUGAAUGUUGCAUUUGUGAUCAGAAAAGAUUGACUCAGAAGAGUGUUCCUGUAAACCCCACUGCAUCUCAUACUUCAUGGUUUCCCACUGCCGUUCUGGACAAUGGAAAUGCAAUCCCAUCUGUAAGAGUUUGAAAACUUUAAAUAUUUUUCUACUUCACUUUUAAAUAUUUUUCUACUUCACUGAUAAAUACUAUUUAUUGAAUAAAAAAUAUCAAUAACAUCCUGACAUUGAAACUGAAGUAUUUGUCAAAAAGAUGAAAGACCAUAAUUUACAUACUUCAUCUGAAGAAGCAACAUGAUGGAAUGCGCCAUCUUUAGUCAGCUUGUAGAAGAUAAAUGCUGGAUCUGGGUUUUCUGAACUAGAAUGAAAAAUUCUUACCAGAUUGACCAUAUUUUCAUAGGCCUCCAUUUCCAUUCUUAUUUUAUAAAAGUACCUGCAACACAAGGCACAUCAUUACAAUCAUAAUUAUUUCUAUUUCAACACAAUGUUUUCAAGUCAAUUAAGUUAUAGAUGGAAUCUUGUCUAAAGAAAUUAGAGACAAUGAUGAAUCAUCCCCUCACCAGUUUCAUAAAUGUGCCACAGUGCACAGCUAGCUAUUUAUAGACUAAAAGGAUGGAAUGCUAAAAUAAAUACUUAGAGGAAGAACCAUAGCAUGUAUUGCUUUCAAGCUGUAAUAAAUUAAACUAUUGUUACUAUUGUUAUGAUUAACUAAGAAAAAAUAAAUGAAUAAAUAGAUCAAUAGGCAGUCACACUAGCUAUACCCUAAACUAAGACCAUUAGUACACUUCUGGGGUCCCCCUGAUUCCCUCAGUAAAGAACACAACUGUUACCCUUUUAUCACACUACACCAGGGUAUUAUUAUGGACCUAGAUUUAUAGACCCACUUCCUAAGUAUGCACAGAUCCUGCUAUAAUGCUAUACCUAUUAACUGAGCUGAACAUUGGGCCAGUAGACAACCUCAAAGGACACCUAGCUGCUAAUGAGGUCAGAACCAAUAUGGUUGACCUGUGUCCAUCCUCUUUCUCAAAUAAGACAAUACACCUAUCUAGGUUCUUCUGUGGAAGUACUAUGUAUGCAGUUCAAACAUGAAUUCCUAUGGGGUUAAAAAUAGUUACAAAAGUGUUUCAUAAGCUUGGGAUUAUUACACUACCAUCAAUUAGUUUCACUCCUUUUCUCUAUGUGGUCUCUCACUCUGCUUAAACUAUACAAACAAAAUUACCUGAAGGGAUGUUUGUAAUAGAGUCCAUAGAGUGCAUACAAUGCUCCCACUCUCCACUUCACUUUGUGAUUAGGAGAUAACAUCUUCUUGGUCCAAAAACAUAUUUCUUGAGAAAAUUCCAAUAGUUCUUUGAAACUGUAUCGACCCCUGAAUGAGAAAUAGAAAUUACAUACAUAUAUUCACCAUCAAUAUCAUAACUUUUCUUUUUGUUGUUUUUCUUCAGUUUUUAAUUAUUGGUUAUUGUCAAUAAGGUUACCAUUAUUGAUUUUUCACUUACUGUGAAAAAAAGUUUUCAAUGGAUUAGCACAAUGAAGAUUCAUAAUGAAAUUAAAUGUUUUUUUUUUCCAUUGAUCAUUACCAAAUUAUCUUACCUGUAUAUGAGAGAAAAUUUAUAUUUCUGCCAACAUUCUGCAAAUGCACAAAAUCUCCAACUGUCCUGCUUAUCAAAAGCUUCAAACAAAGCUAUCAGGUCCUUCAUGAAACCAGAUGCAAGGUACCAAUGACCUGAAAUAUGCACAAAUCUUAACAUGUGAAUGGUACUAUAAAAUCGUUAUGAAGCACAGUAUGUAAUCAAGCUACACAAAACAAUAAACUAUAAAUAUUAUCA